GGAAGUAAAGUCGUAACAAGGUCUCCGUUGGUGAACCAGCGGAGGGAUCAUUACAGGACUCGCAAGACUCCUACAACCCUGUGAACUUAACUAUAAGCACGUUGCUUCGGCGGGUGUCUCGGAGGGGGUUCUCCCUCCCCGAGACGCUAAACCCGCCGGCAGCCUACUAUACUCUGUCUCUUUGCGUUGGCAUCUCGAGUACAAUCAAACAAGUUAAAACUUUCAACAACGGAUCUCUUGGUUCUG
rnacentral:misc_RNA from 1 species